rnacentral:rRNA from 1 species
UACGGGGGGGGUAAGCGUUGUUCGGGAUUACUGGGCGUAAAGGGCUCGUAGGCGGCCAACUAAGUCAAACGUGAAAUCCCUCAGCUUAACUGGGGAACUGCGUCUGAUACUGGAUGGCUUGGAUUCGGGAGAGGAAUGCGGAAUUCCAGGUGUAGCGGUGAAAUGCGUAGAUAUCUGGAGGAACACCGGUGGCGAAGGCGGCAUCCUGGACCAAUUCUGACGCUGAGUGAGCGAAAGCCAGGGGAGCAAACGGG